AGAAAAGUGACCGCCGCCCCGCGCAGGGGCGACGCCAGCAGACCGUUAUGAAAGCAAGUUCAACGACGAGGCGUGGAUGACCGACAGAAACCCCACGCCCCCGCGAGCCUC
rnacentral:sRNA from 20 species